rnacentral:rRNA from 1 species
GACAGAGGUGCCAAGCGUUAGGCGGAAUCACUGGGCUUAAAGCGUGUGUAGGCGGCUCGUUAAGUACCUUGUGAAAUCCCACGGCUUAACCGUGGAACUGCUCGGUAUACUGGCGGUCUUGAGCAACCUAGGGGCGAGCGGAACAAAUGGUGGAGCGGUGAAAUGCGUAGAUAUCAUUUGGAACGCCAAUGGUGAAAACAGCUCGCUGGGGGUUUGCUGACGCUGAGGCACGAAGGUCAGGGGAGCAAACGGG